rnacentral:rRNA from 1 species
UGUCUGAAUAAGGCGAGGCCAAGGGAAACUCUGGUGGAGGAGGCUCGUAGCGAUUCUGACGCGCGAAUCGAUCGCA